UAGGGAAUCUUCCACAAUGGACGCAAGUCUGAUGGAGCAACGCCGCGUGAGUGAAGAAGGUUUUCGGAUCGUAAAGCUCUGUUGUUGGUGAAGAAGGAUAGAGGCAGUAACCGGUCUUUAUUUGACGGUAAUCAACCAGAAAGUCACGGCUAACUACGUGCCAGCAGCCGCGGUAAUACGUAGGUGGCAAGCGUUGUCCGGAUUUAUUGGGCGUAAAGCGAGCGCAGGCGGAAUGAUAAGUCUGAUGUGAAAGCCCACGGCUCACCGUGGAACUGCAU
rnacentral:rRNA from 1 species